AUUGAACGCUGGCGGCAGGCCUAACACAUGCAAGUCGAACGAGUCGCGGACUGGUGAGCCAUUUCUUGGCAACUGCCUGACGGACGGGUAUAACUUCUGUAACCGUUAGCUACUACCGCAUACCAUCAGUUUUUCCCUGAUGUGAUUAGCUAGUGGGUGGGGUAACGGCUCACCAAGGCGACGAUCCAUAGCUGGUCUGCGAGGCUGAGCAGCCACACUGGAACUGAGACACGGUCCAGACUCCUACGGGAGGCAGAAGUGGGGAAUAUUGCACAAUGGACGCAAGCCUGAUGCAGCCAUGCCGCGUGUGUGAAGAAGGCCUUCGGAUUGUAAAGUACUUUCAGCGGGGAGGCGGUAGCCGAAGAAGAAGCACCGGCUAACUCCGUGCCAGCAGCCGCGGUAAUAC
rnacentral:rRNA from 1 species